UUCUUGCUGGAGAUCCCUGCCUACUGUGAGCCUUCUGAAGAAAGAGCUUUCAAGCUGCUAGCUUUAAUGAAGUACUUUUAAGACUCGGUGUAUGAUAUUCAAGCUACAAGAGCUACAGUGAGCACAAUGACACUGAUAGAGCAAAGUGUCAGCUACAAAACAUAAUUUUUCAGCAUAGUCAUCACCAUUAGCGGUGUGUUUUUGUCAGCCAUGAACAAGAGCCUGCCUGCUGUGUUCACAAAAAUCUGAAUCGGUGAUGAUGACCCACUGUCACAGUUGCCGCUGCUAAAAAGGCCACCCAUCACCUCACUGUACUCACAUUCACUGGUUGGUGUUCAUAAACAUUCAGUGUCAGUGAAUGACAUUGUGUUGAGUUUUUUCCUCACUGAGGAAUUCAGUGACACAAUUCUGCUUCAUAUACGCUUCUGUACCAGAUGCCUUUUUGUCAGACUGCCCCUCUGCUGCCAUCUGUCACACAGCAACAAAAUGUAAUGGAAUAUUGGUGGGAAGAUUCAAUCUUUACUGCCAUUCACCCAUCUGCCUCUGCUGUUGUGGGCUACCAUAAUACAAUAGGAGGCAUUACUUUUGGAGCAGCCCUUGUGCUUUCCUUUGAACUUCUCAGUGACAGCAUUUUUAAUGAUUUUGCUUCUGCUUUCAUGGUAAAUUUCCAAAGCCUUCUUUCUCUGUAAAAGUUUGAAAAUUCUGAAGGAAAAGGUAAUCCUAAGGCUGACUUAAUAGAAAGUAUGAAAGCAGCUGCCAAAGUGUUCAAGAUCAAGGAGACAGCUGCAGUUUCAAACGAAAAGCUUUAAAGCUUUUAAUGUGUGCCAUGAUGAAAAAGCUUCCCUUAAUCUAUCAUAAAAGAUUUUUUGUGGUAGCAAAUAAUAAGAAGAACAAGACUGAGAACUAAAAAUUACUACAGAGUGUACUUCUGCUUUUGAAUCAUUGAAAAUUAGCUGCAAUUCAACUGAAAAAAUGCGUAUGUGCAUUGGCCAUGCUGUCCAGUAGAGGGAAGAGGAAUGCAAAACCAACAAACAAAAAAAGUCCUACGUGUUUACAAACAAGAAAAUACAUAUUUUCCUAACAUAUUUUGGGCUAGAUUUAACAUUCUUACUCAAGAAAAGUUAAUUGUGACAGUUGUUUUACUGUGAGGUAAUUGUAUUUCAAUAACAAUAAAGGCAGUGAAAUUCUUUUUUUUUGUCUGAACAUCUGAUCAAACUGAGUAUUCAAUAUACUGGGUGAUAAAAGGAUUUGACCUAAUGUUACAAUUAGAUGGUAAAUAUUUGGAAAGAAGAGGGAGAAAGAGUAUUUCAAGGGCUAGAACAAACUUGAAGUAGCUGGAAUUAGUCUGAACAAAGCUGUCAAGUUUAAAGUUUCUUCUGAAAACUAUGAAGCCAAACUAAUAAAUAUAUUAUUAUUAUAAC
ensembl:lncRNA